AGAUUAAGUUAUUAAGGGCGCACGGUGGAUGCCUUGGCACUAGAAGCCGAUGAAGGACGUUACUAACGACGAUAUGCUUUGGGGAGCUGUAAGUAAGCUUUGAUCCAGAGAUUUCCGAAUGGGGAAACCCAGCAUGAGUUAUGUCAUGUUAUCGAUAUGUGAAUACAUAGCAUAUCAGAAGGCACACCCGGAGAACUGAAACAUCUUAGUACCCGGAGGAAGAGAAAGAAAAUUCGAUUCCCUUAGUAGCGGCGAGCGAAACGGGAAGAGCCCAAACCAACAAGCUUGCUUGUUGGGGUUGUAGGACACUCUAUACGGAGUUACAAAGGACGACAUUAGACGAAUCAUCUGGAAAGAUGAAUCAAAGAAGGUAAUAAUCCUGUAGUCGAAAAUGUUGUCUCUCUUGAGUGGAUCCUGAGUACGACGGAGCACGUGAAAUUCCGUCGGAAUCUGGGAGGACCAUCUCCUAAGGCUAAAUACUCUCUAGUGACCGAUAGUGAACCAGUACCGUGAGGGAAAGGUGAAAAGCACCCCGGAAGGGGAGUGAAAUAGAACCUGAAACCGUGUGCUUACAAGUAGUCAGAGCCCGUUAAUGGGUGAUGGCGUGCCUUUUGUAGAAUGAACCGGCGAGUUACGAUUUGAUGCAAGGUUAAGCAGUAAAUGUGGAGCCGUAGCGAAAGCGAGUCUGAAUAGGGCGUUUAGUAUUUGGUCGUAGACCCGAAACCAGGUGAUCUACCCUUGGUCAGGUUGAAGUUCAGGUAACACUGAAUGGAGGACCGAACCGACUUACGUUGAAAAGUGAGCGGAUGAACUGAGGGUAGCGGAGAAAUUCCAAUCGAACCUGGAGAUAGCUGGUUCUCUCCGAAAUAGCUUUAGGGCUAGCCUCAAGUGAUGAUUAUUGGAGGUAGAGCACUGUUUGGACGAGGGGCCCCUCUCGGGUUACCGAAUUCAGACAAACUCCGAAUGCCAAUUAAUUUAACUUGGGAGUCAGAACAUGGGUGAUAAGGUCCGUGUUCGAAAGGGAAACAGCCCAGACCACCAGCUAAGGUCCCAAAAUAUAUGUUAAGUGGAAAAGGAUGUGGCGUUGCCCAGACAACUAGGAUGUUGGCUUAGAAGCAGCCAUCAUUUAAAGAGUGCGUAAUAGCUCACUAGUCGAGUGACACUGCGCCGAAAAUGUACCGGGGCUAAACAUAUUACCGAAGCUGUGGAUUGUCCUUUGGACAAUGGUAGGAGAGCGUUCUAAGGGCGUUGAAGCAUGAUCGUAAGGACAUGUGGAGCGCUUAGAAGUGAGAAUGCCGGUGUGAGUAGCGAAAGACGGGUGAGAAUCCCGUCCACCGAUUGACUAAGGUUUCCAGAGGAAGGCUCGUCCGCUCUGGGUUAGUCGGGUCCUAAGCUGAGGCCGACAGGCGUAGGCGAUGGAUAACAGGUUGAUAUUCCUGUACCACCUAUAAUCGUUUUAAUCGAUGGGGGGACGCAGUAGGAUAGGCGAAGCGUGCGAUUGGAUUGCACGUCUAAGCAGUAAGGCUGAGUAUUAGGCAAAUCCGGUACUCGUUAAGGCUGAGCUGUGAUGGGGAGAAGACAUUGAGUCUUCGAGUCGUUGAUUUCACACUGCCGAGAAAAGCCUCUAGAUAGAAAAUAGGUGCCCGUACCGCAAACCGACACAGGUAGUCAAGAUGAGAAUUCUAAGGUGAGCGAGCGAACUCUCGUUAAGGAACUCGGCAAAAUGACCCCGUAACUUCGGGAGAAGGGGUGCUCUUUAGGGUUAACGCCCAGAAGAGCCGCAGUGAAUAGGCCCAAGCGACUGUUUAUCAAAAACACAGGUCUCUGCUAAACCGUAAGGUGAUGUAUAGGGGCUGACGCCUGCCCGGUGCUGGAAGGUUAAGAGGAGUGGUUAGCUUCUGCGAAGCUACGAAUCGAAGCCCCAGUAAACGGCGGCCGUAACUAUAACGGUCCUAAGGUAGCGAAAUUCCUUGUCGGGUAAGUUCCGACCCGCACGAAAGGCGUAACGAUUUGGGCACUGUCUCAACGAGAGACUCGGUGAAAUCAUAGUACCUGUGAAGAUGCAGGUUACCCGCGACAGGACGGAAAGACCCCGUGGAGCUUUACUGUAGCCUGAUAUUGAAAUUCGGCACAGCUUGUACAGGAUAGGUAGGAGCCUUUGAAACGUGAGCGCUAGCUUACGUGGAGGCGCUGGUGGGAUACUACCCUAGCUGUGUUGGCUUUCUAACCCGCACCACUUAUCGUGGUGGGAGACAGUGUCAGGCGGGCAGUUUGACUGGGGCGGUCGCCUCCUAAAAGGUAACGGAGGCGCUCAAAGGUUCCCUCAGAAUGGUUGGAAAUCAUUCAUAGAGUGUAAAGGCAUAAGGGAGCUUGACUGCGAGACCUACAAGUCGAGCAGGGUCGAAAGACGGACUUAGUGAUCCGGUGGUUCCGCAUGGAAGGGCCAUCGCUCAACGGAUAAAAGCUACCCCGGGGAUAACAGGCUUAUCUCCCCCAAGAGUU
rnacentral:rRNA from 1 species